ACAGCAGUAGCCACGGGAAUACGUAGGUGGCAAGCGUUGUCCGGAAUUAUUGGGCGUAAAGGGCUCGCAGGCGGUUUCUUAAGUCUGAUGUGAAAGCCCCCGGCUCAACCGGGGAGGGUCAUUGGAAACUGGGAAACUUGAGUGCAGAAGAGGAGAGUGGAAUUCCACGUGUAGCGGUGAAAUGCGUAGAGAUGUGGAGGAACACCAGUGGCGAAGGCGACUCUCUGGUCUGUAACUGACGCUGAGGAGCGAAAGCGUGGGGAGCGAACAGGAUUAGAUACCCCGGUAGUCCCUGUCUCUUAUAU
rnacentral:rRNA from 1 species